rnacentral:rRNA from 1 species
GAUGAACGCUGGCGGCGUGCCUAAUACAUGCAAGUCGAGCGAACAGACGAGGAGCUUGCUCCUCUGACGUUAGCGGCGGACGGGUGAGUAACACGUGGAUAACCUACCUAUAAGACUGGAUAACUUCGGGAAACCGGAGCUAAUACCGGAUAAUAUAUUGAACCGCAUGGUUCAAUAGUGAAAGACGGUUUUGCUGUCACUUAUAGAUGGAUCCGCGCCGCAUUAGCUAGUUGGUAAGGUAACGGCUUACCAAGGCAACGAUGCGUAGCCGACCUGAGAGGGUGAUCGGCCACACUGGAACCGAGACACGGUCCAGACUCCUACGGGAGGCAGCAGUAGGGAAUCUUCCGCAAUGGGCGAAAGCCUGACGGAGCAACGCCGCGUGAGUGAUGCAGGUCUUCGGAUCGUAAAACUCUGUUAUUAGGGAAGAACAAAUGUGUAAGUAACUAUGCACGUCUUGACGGUACCUAAUCAGAAAGCCACGGCUAACUACGUG